AGGCAUCAGGCGUGACGUUGGGGAUGGAUGCUUCGCGAGUAUAUAUUCGGGAAGAAGAACGACAGGUUCCAGAGCCAGUUGCUGGGCCACGUUUUUGCAUCCGACAUACUUCUGGCUACAUAGGUACUAGCUAGUACUUUCGCUUAUCGAGCCUGUAGGCCAUUUUCGAUCUUGUUCUGUACUCUCCACUUACGUAGUAAGAUCACAUAUCUACCUUCUACGGUUUAUGCUUCUCAGAUGCCAUGAAUCCGCCCUUCAGUUAACAUAUUUGCCAUGCAGUUUUGACUAGUUAGUAUCUUUGGCUGCGCCCACCACGGCCUCUUCCAUAUUCGGAUAUCUCAAAACUCACUCCAUAACUGAAACUGA
rnacentral:sRNA from 1 species